UAAUGUGAAAAAGAAUGCCAUGCCACAAGCUAAUACAAUUCCCCACCAUGGAAGUUGAAGCUGUCUAUCGAAGCCUUCACAAGCAUAGAUUGAAAGAGCAAAUGUUACUACUAAUACAAUGUGGAACCACCAUUGAGAAAUGUAAAACUGUCAUUGCAACAUACAACGAGAAAAUUCUUUCUGCAGAAAGAAAGAUAAUAGAAUGAGACAUCAAGAUGUUAUUGAAGAUGCUUACUUUCCUUCGAAGAGUGCAACAUGUGAUAUGCUAGCCAUUAGUGUCGCGAAGCUCAAUCCGUAGAGGAAGGCAAACACAAUACUGAGAGUCAUAGGCAUAUGGAGAAACUAUGGGAAAUCGCUGGGCUUCAUAAAGAUUAUUCCAAUAAGCAAUU